CAACCAGGACAGGUGAUCGCGGCUGCACAGACGAAAGGGUGCAGACGAGGAAAGUCCGGGCUUCACAGGGCAGGAUGCCGGAUAACGUCCGGUGGAGGCGACUCCCAGACCAGUGCAACAGAAAUAAACCGCCUCCUCCUCUGGAGCGGGGUAAGGGUGGAAAGGCAGUGUAAGAGACUACCGCCGUUCUGGUAACAGGACGGGCACAUGUAAACUCCAUCUGAAGCAAGACCGAAAAGAAAGCGAUACGGCGGCCCGUCGUGCUUUCAGGUGGGUCGCUUGAGCCGUCUGGCGACAGACGGCCUAGAUAGAUGAUCACUCAACGACAUAACCCGGCUUAUCGUUCUGGUUGCCAA
rnacentral:RNase_P_RNA from 1 species